rnacentral:lncRNA from 1 species
GUGGGGGUUAUACAAGGGCAGAGAGACAUAAAAAUCCAGUGAGCUGGAGCUGACGAUUUGUAUGCUUUGUUAUAUAUAUUAUACAGCAAUAAGUUUUUUAAGUGCUUCCUCAUAACCACCUGUGAAUUAGGUCCCACGGUUAUUAUAAUCAUCUCCAUUCUACAGAGGAGGCAACUCACUUUCAAGAGAAGCUGUAGAAGCCCCAGGCCUCCACGAAAGUAAAUAACGCAGUUUCCUCCUCUCCUGUCCCUACUUCAAAUAGUUAAUCUCUUUCUCUGCCAGCAGAUUUCUCAGGUACCAGGAACCAGCGCGGUCCAUCUCCGCUCGGGUGUGUGGCGGCCGCCGCUUCUACAAGGCUUUUUUAGCCUUUGUGUAGAGAGAGGGUCCCGGAGGGCGGGGUGCCCAGAGGCUCGGGGAUCAGAGGGCCCCAUUUGCGCCUCCCCCCUGUGAGGAGGGCGGCCUCCUGGACUAAACUCCGGAUUCCAGUCACCCCUGCCCACGUGCACCCUACCCCAGAGCCCGAGGCCCCGGGGGACCGCUCCAGGUCGGGACGACUUCCCCGCGGUCCCCGCAGCCCUGCGGUUUCUCAAAAGCAGAGCGAUCCCAUAUUUGAUCCUCCCUCUGGGGAGCGAAUCUGAUCAGGGCCUUGCUGGUUCUCCUCCUUGCUCUCCAGCCCCUUCAAAAGACCCAGAGGGAGACUCUUGCAGCUGGAAAUGACUGCCUGGGACCCAGAGUCCAGCAGUGAGCUUCGCCUCCGUGGAGGACAGGCCGGAACGGUGAAAGGGUCUCGAACGGACACCGCGUCAGGAGCGCUGCUGUGUGUCCGCGGGGGAGGGCCACAGGUGCAGGUGAGGACCCCCGGGAACCGGGGCAUCUGCAGAGCCCCCCGAGAAGCCGGAGGCCUGGGCACCACCUCCCGGAGCCGGCGCUGGGAGAUGCCGAGACGUCUCCAUUUUCAAGCCCAGGCAGGAAUGGGCUCAGAGACCAGCCCACCGGCCCUAAAGGUUCGAAUUUCCUUCCGUCAAAUCCGAAUCGUUGCGUUUCUGGCGUUCGCUCGUUGCCCCGCGGAUGCGGGCCCGGCCGCCCGGCCGCGAAUUGCCCGCCGCGGCCUCCGCGCACCAGGCCCGCCAGCGCCCCG